ensembl:lncRNA
GGCCACUUGCGGAGCUGAAGAAGGUGGCUCCUUAAGUGGCAUGACUUGAGAUGAGGGUUGUGCAUCGUUGUUUCCAUCUAUCCUCUUUUCUCCAUCCCACCUGCCUGUCACAGUGACCAAAGUCCCCUUUCUUAUCUCCAUUCCUACAGGCUGUGAAAGAUUUUAGGUUAUCAGGAGUUUCUUGUUAAGAGGCAAGUGUUCAAGUCAUUAUGAGCUGAUUGUUGUUGCUGUCGUUUAGUCUAUCAGUCAUGUCCGACACUUUUGUGACCCCAUGGACUGUAGCCCGCCAGGCUCCUCUGUCCAUGGGAUUUCCAUGCAAGAAUACUAGAACAGGUAGCCCUUCCCUUCUCCAGGGCAUCUUCCCAAGCCAGGGUUUGAAUCCUGUCUCCUGCAUUGCAGGGCAGAUUCUUUACUGCUGAGCCAGCAGGGAAGCCCUUAUGAGCUGCUACCUAGUAGCAAUCAGACAAGGUGAGUGAGGGAGUAGGGAGAGGGCUUGCUAGAGGGCUGAGCACCAUUUUGCUUCCUAACAGCCGUGUGGAUCGCUGCAAUUCAUUGCAACAGGGAAAAGGGGAUGUCCAGCUUCCCGGUCUUUGUAGUCGAAAACGUGAGGCUUUGCCUUAUAAACACCGCAGUCCUGCAGAAACGUCUUGGCCGGCGUUACCCCGAGAAGCGUGUCUGCCUGGCUUAUAAUCGUCAGUGCCGCACGUUUAGCUCGGGUGUCGAGAGAGUGCCCGUCUCUAGGCUGUAUUGCAUCCUCCCGCCUGGCUGCAUUGCACUGUUCCUUUUCCCCUUGUUUGGAAUUGUUUUCGACUGGGCAGGAAAGCUAUGAUUCCUUGAUUCCUGUUCCUGGCUGUGUCAACAUUCACUACCUGCAGUCUUCCUCCAUUCACCUGUAAGUCAGGGCUAGUAAUACCCCCCCUCUCAAGGUUGUUGCAAGCACUGAACUCCACGUGCACAUACAGCUUGCGUGAAUUCCUCACGGCCGCCAAAACAAAUUGCUACCCACUUGGUGGCUUCCAACAGCAAACACUGAUUGUCUCAGAGUUCUGGAAGCUGGAAGUCUGAAAUCAAGGUGUCAGCAGGUCCAUGUUUCCUUGGAAGCUUCUAGGGGGAGAUCCUUCUCUGCCUUUUUCAGCUUCUGAUGGCAUCAUUGCCAUCUGCUUAGUUGUGACGUGGCCUUCUCCUCUCUGUGUCUCUUACAAGGACACCUUCAUCGGGUUAGUACCCACUCAAAUCCAGCAUGAUCUCACCUUUUUCAUCUGCCAAAACCCUAUUUCCAAACAACGUCCCGUUCCGAGGUUCUUGGAGGACAUGAGUGUUUGGAGGGCAGUAUUUCACCCACACUACGCAGCUUCUCGAGCAAUGCUGGACUUCAGAGAAUGGAAGCUCCCUCUUCUAUCUCUACCAUCUGGGCACAGGUUAACUAAGCCAGAGUUUUAUGUAACUUUCUCAGUCCCUCUAAAGAAUAGGCUAUUUACACAUGGCCCCAGAAAACGCCUUGUAGAGCCACUGGCCAGUUGGUUCCUCUGCCAGUUGGUCUGUGCCAGACACUGGGAGCCAGGGACAGGGUGACCGACGUCCCGGCCCUUCAGGAGGCCACGGUCUAGUGGAGGAGAGUGACAUGUAAAUAAGCAAAUACAAUGCUCCUAUUUAUUAGGCUGGCGCGCAUCCAGGACUCCAUCCAGAACAAUGCUUCCAGAGCUGUUGGCAUCACCCGGGGUUCCAGGAGCCAACUCUACCCCGGCUCUCCCUGCGGCGCCUCUGGCCUCGCCCUCCUGCCCCCGCACACAGGGCUGGCAGGUUACGUUCAGGUUAAUCUCAGUCAUCGCAUUUAUCC